CUACUAACUGCCAGCCAAGACUGCUAGAUCCCGCAAAGCUACCAGCAAUCAGGACAUUUCAAGACAAGCACUGCCGGAAGCCGCUCGCCUCCACCUCACCAGAACAGCAGAAGACAUGUAAUAAAAGCUACUGCAGAAAGCGGGAGACAGGAUCAGGAUGAUGUGACCUACAAAGAUGGUUUCCAUUUGCCUCCUUUCUAGUAAGGCUGUGGCAGCCUCCCCUGUGAAAAUAAUUAUCAGAUCAGACUGACCUAGGGAGAAAACAUCUGUGCGGCCGUGACCAUCCCUGGACGGCAGAGCCUAGAACAUGAUUUCUCCUAGCUGGGGCCUUCC
rnacentral:lncRNA from 1 species